rnacentral:rRNA from 1 species
UUGAACGCUGGCGGUAUGCUUUACACAUGCAAGUCGAACGGCAGCACGGGGCAACCUGGUGGCGAGUGGCGAACGGGUGAGUAAUAUAUCGGAACAUAUCCGGAAGUGGGGGAUAACGUAGCGAAAGUUGCGCUAAUACCGCAUAUGCCCUGAGGGGGAAAGGGGGGGAUCGCAAGACCUCUCGCUUUCGGAGUGGCCGAUAUCGGAUUAGCUAGUUGGUGAGGUAAAGGCUCACCAAGGCGACGAUCCGUAGCGGUUCUGAGAGGACGACCCGCCACACUGGAACUGAGACACGGUCCAGACUCCUACGGGAGGCAGCAGUGGGGAAUUUUGGACAAUGGGGGCAACCCUGAUCCAGCCAUGCCGCGUGAGUGAAGAAGGCCUUCGGGUUGUAAAGCUCUUUCAGCCGGAAAGAAACGGUUACGGUGAAUAUCCGUGACUAAUGACGGUACCGGCAGAAGAAGCACCGGCUAACUACGU